rnacentral:tRNA from 1 species
CAGAGUGUAGCUAAGUUAGCAUAGCAUCUCCCUUACACUGAGAAGUCAUUCGUGCAAAUCGAAUCGCCCUGA